rnacentral:rRNA from 1 species
UGAGAUGACGCGACCCGGUGGAUGCCUUGGCUCGGGGGACGAUGAAGGACGUGGCUGACGACGAUACUCGAUGUGGUCCAAGCACGUGACAUCGAUCUUCGAAUGGAUCAUCGGGGUGGUGGGGUGAUCUACGAACUGGGUUGUUUCGAGGGGU